rnacentral:lncRNA from 1 species
CUUCUUCAAGGCCAAUAGAAGAGCAGCUCUGCUGCUUUGAAUCCCUCUGACUUUUCCACCUUGUGUCCUCCAGACUCUCAUUUAAAAGGUCUGACCUGAUUAGGUCAGACUGAUCUGGGAAAAUCUCCUUUGCGAUAACUUCAGAGUCAACUGAUUAGGGACCUUAAUUACAUCUACAAAACUCCUCCACCUUUGCUCUAUAAUGUGAACGAAUCACGGGAAUGAUAUCUCAUCGUAUUCAUAGGUCCUUUUUCCACACUCAAGGGAGGGAAUUUUAUAGGGCAUGUACACCAGGAGGCGAGAAUCUUGAGGAACAUUCUAGAUAUGUUCACUAUACCUCCUUUCCAAGCCUCAGUUUUCUCCUCCAUGAAGUAAGAAGUGUAAUCUCUAACCUGAUUGUGGGUAGAUUAAAUUAGAUGACAAAUGCAAAAGUGCUGUUAUUCACUCAGAGAUAUUUAGUGAGGACCAACUGCAUGCCAGGCAGGCCCUCUGGAAGCUCAGUAAAUGCAGUGGUAUGUAAUACAGACAUGGUCCCUGCCUCAUGGGGCUGGUAGUCUAGUGGAGGAGACGAGUGUGAUGUGCAGGAUCUGUAUGCUGAAAACUACAAAAUGCUGUUGCAAUAAAUAAUGAAGACCUAAACAAAUGGAAAGGUAUACCAUAUUUAUGGACAGAAGAUUCAACAUAAAGAUGUCAAUUUCCCAAAGUGGACUAUAGAUUUAACACAAUACCAAUCAAAAUCCCAGCAGGAUUUUUUUGUUAGAUAUUAACAAGCAGAUUCUAAAAUAUUGUGGAAGGACAGAGGAACUAGAAUAGCUAAAACAAUUUUGGGGAGAAAAAGAAUAAAGUGUGAGGAAUCAUACUACCUAAUCUCCUUUCUUCUUCUUCUUUUUUUUUUUUUUUGAGGGGGACAGUUGUUUUGUCUUUUGAAAUGAGGUCUCUCUUAUGUUUCUCAGGCUGGCCUCAAACUCCUGGGCUCAAGCAAUCCUCUUGUUUCAGCCUCCUGAGUAGCUGGGAUUACAGAUGCACGCUACCUUGCCCAGUUUAUGCUACCUAAUUUUAAGACUUAGUUCAAAACUACAGUAGUCAUCAAGAGAGUGUGAAAUUUGCAAAAAGAUGAAUAUACAGAUCAGUAAAACAGAACAGAAGGUUCAGAAAUUGAUCUACACAAAUAUGAAUAAUAUGUACAAAGGCAAUUCAAUGGAGAAAAAAUAAUCUUUUCAACAAAUGAAUUUGGAACAACUAGUCAUCCAUAAACAAAGAAAAACCUUUGACCUAAAUACAAAGAUUAACCCCAAAUGAAUCACAGAUCAAAAUGUAAAAUGUAAACUAUAAAAUUGUUAGAAGACAACAUAUAUGAAAAUCUUUAUGACCUGGGGCUGGGUGAAGAGCUCUAAAAUGAUACCAAGAGCAUGAUUCAUCCAUGAAGGAAAUAUUCAUAAACCAAACUGCAUCAAAAUUAAAAACUUUUGCUCUGUCAAAGAAAGACACUGUCAAGAAAGUGAAGAGACAACGUACAGACUGGGAAAAAAAUAUUUGCAAACCACAUAUCUGACAAAUUACUUGUAUCCAGAAUAUACGAAGGACUCUCAAAACUCAAAAGCAAGAAAACAAGCCACCUCAUUAAAAAAAUGGGUAAAGGACUUGUACAGACACUUCACCAAAGAGGAUAUAAAAAUGACAAACGAACACAUGAAAAGAUAUUCAACAUUACUAACACUCAGAGAAAUGUGAAUUGAAUCCAUGAUGGGAUACCUCUACAUACCUGUUAGAAUAGCACAUUAAAAAAUGUAAAACCAAGAGCUGACAAGAACACAGAGAAACUAGUACUCUCAUACAUUGCUGGUGGGAAUGUAAAAUGGUACAGAUGCUUUGUAAAAUGGUUCGUCACUUUCUUGUAAAGUUAAAUCUUUGAGUAUACACUUACCAUGUGACCCAGUAAUCCCCCUCCUAAUGUAGUUACCCUAGAGCAAUGAAAACAUCUCUUCACAUGAAAACCUGUACCUGAAUGUUCAUAGCAACUUUAUUUGUAAUAGCCAAAAUCUGCAAACUGCUCAAAUGUCCUUCAAUGGGUUAAUGGUUAACAAUGAAAUACCACUGAUUAGUACAAAGGAACAAUAUUGAUAAGUGCAACAAUAUUUGGAUAAAUGUCAAAGACUUUCAUACUAAAUGAGAGAAGCCAGUCAAGAUGUCACACACUGUAAUUUCAUUUACUUGAUACUCUCAAAAAGACAAAAUUAUGGUGAUGGAAAACAUAUUAGUAUUUGCCAGGACUAUGGGUGGGGUGAGGAUAUAACUAUAAAACAACAGCAUGAGUGCGUUUUUAGGGGAUGAUGGAGUUUUCCCGUAUCCUGAUGAUGGUGGAGGAUACACACAUCUGCACAUGUUCAGAUCCAUAGAACCGUAUACCAGAAGAAAAACAGUAAAUUUUACUGUAUGAUAAUUUAAAAAACCCAGUAGUGUGGACAGAAGUUCCGAGAGAGAGACGCUUGGCUCUUGGAGAACAGACUCAUAUUUCAGAGAGGUUAUUCUUGUACUGUGAAAAAGUUAGCACCACGCAUAGAACUUCAUAAAUGCUCAAUAAAUCAACAGUUACAAUAAAGAGGUUAAUAGAUUCUGAACUCAGUGAGUCUAGAAAGUGAUGUCGCCAAGAAACGAAUCACUAGAUUCUGCUGGGAAGUGGAUUCCUGAAGUCAAAGCAGGGUGCCAGAAGAUGCUCAAAGCUAGCUGGGAGGUAGAAAUGCCCCCAGAGGGAGAGAUAGCAUGUGGCCCACAGGCCUAGGGAGCUAAUUCCAGACCUUCUUCCAUUGUCAGACCUUGCUCAGAGCUGCCCAGGAGGCUGAGUCUUCACGGGUGAAGGAGGAAGUGGUAGGCUCUGAAGGAGCUCUGUUCCCUCCUGCUCACCUCCCAGGUGGCCCAUAGCCAUGACCUACUUUUCCUACCUGUUGGUGCAGCUGCUCCAGCCAGAGGAGAUACCCUCAGAGAUCUCUCCUGCUGCAAAACCUGCAAGGGCUCACCACUGUCUGCAGAAUAAAGCUCCAACUCUUUUACUUGCACAUUCAGAGCUCUCCCUGACUUGGAGGCCAGCUUCCCUUCAGCGUCAUGUCUCUCCACAGCUGAUGCUGGAGGAGCCAGCCAGCCCAGGCUCCUUGCCAGAUGCCUACAAGGCCUCUCGAUUUCCUGCUUGUGUGCAUGCUGUCAGGAAUGUCCUUUCCCUUUCCAUUUCCACUGGGCAAAACUGAACCCAUCCGCUGGGCCCAGCACUAAUGCACCUCCCCCAAGGAACCCUCCUUCAUUCCUCACCUGCUAGAGAACUAUACUACCUAAUUUUAAGACUUAGUAUAAAACUACAGUAGUUCUGGGACCUCUCUGCUCCCUCUGCCUCAGAGGAUGGCCAGCUAGGGAUAUGUUCUUGGCACCGGCUCUUGCCCAUCUCUGGCCCUGCACCCUGCACAGGAUGUAUAUGAGUAGAAUGUUGUGGCCUCUCCUACAUCUUCCAGGCUGCUUUCUUUCCCCAAGGCAGGGUGGAGUCCUCUGCCAUCUUCAGGCUGCCAGACUCUCCACCUCCGUGAAUCAGCAAACCUUUCCAGGGCCAGCAGUGGGCUCAGCACUUUUUUGAGUGCUUUUCGGAGCGUGUGAGGGAGGAAGUCAGAGAAGCCACACUUGGCAUAAAGGAGCCAGGGCAUGCAGACCUGAAGCUCCAGGGACUACUCAUGUGGCAGGGUGUACCCAGGGACCCCAGAGGUGCUCUCUCACCUCCCUUCUAACCACUGCCUCAUCUUCUCCCUUUUCCUGGAGAGCUGCGCCCCUUCCCCAUGGCCUGCCUUCCAUGCUGUCCUCACCCCACAGCCCAGCCUGGUUCCUGCCCUCUGCUGUCCCUGCUAGAACCUCCUGGGCACCAAAUCUGGAGGGUCCAGUUUGAGUUUUUAUUUCCUUGGCCUGCUCAGGGCCUCCCCAUGCUGACUUCCCUCAUUACUAGGAUGCCCGUCCUCCUAGGUCUCCCCAUGUUGACCUCCCUCAUUUCCAGGAUGCCUGUCCUCCUGGGUCUCUGUUUUUGUUUUCUUGAAGGGCUCCCAACCCUCUGCUGGUCCCUGGGAGGUUGGGAGUCCUCAGGGUAAGAUGGGGGCUGCUUCUCUUCUCCCAGAACCCACUCAAGGUCUCAACCAUCAACACUGGCCCCCAAAUCCAUUCCUCUACCUCAGGUUUUCCUUCCUGAGCUCCAGAUCCCUGAAGUUCUCAUGGGCCCCUCAAAAGUAACAUGAUCUAAACGCAAGUCAUCACUUUCUCUGGCGGUCCCUCCUCAGCUCCACCCCAGCCAACAGCACCCUGUGGAUCCACUUUGCAGUUUGGGGCCUUCUCCCUCUCUCUGCUGACUUAGCUUCCUACACAUAGCAGGCCAGGCCCUCUUUUUCUCAAUUACUGCCACCACUUCCUGCCCAGCUCCUGUCUCCUGCCUUUCCCAUUCCCAUUCAUUCUCAUUCAGCAGCCCCAGGGAGCUUUUCAAAGUACAAACCUGGGCCGGGUGUGGUGGCUCAGGCCUGUAAUCCCAACUACUCUGGAGGCUGAGGUGGGAGGACUGCUUGAGCCUAGGAGGUUGAGGCUGCAGUGAGCUAUGAUCACACCACUGCACUCUAACAUGGGUGACAGAGUGAGACCCUGUCUCAAAAGAAAAGAAAAGAAUAAGAAAGUACAAGCCUGGCAUGAUCCUCCUGAAAAUCUGUUGUUUGCAGAAGCAAGUCCACGUGUCUUUUGGAAGCAGGCCAGGUAUGCGCAGUACCGGUGAAGCCAGGCUGCUGGCUGUGUGACUUGGGCAAGUGCCUCUCCCCUCUUGAGUCUCCUUUUCCUUCUUUGUAAGGUCUGUCUACCUCCUAGGGCAGUUCUGAGAACCAUAUGAGAUAACACACAUAAUGGGUCUAGAACUGUGCUGGCCUGCAGGGGUGCUAAAACAGGGGUGUUAGCGUUACUAGCUGCUUCUUCUCCCCAAGCUCCCUGUGGCUUCAACUCUUGCCUUGUUCCUAUAUGAUAAUGCAGCCAAACCUUUGUGCCUCUACCCCUCUGACCUUACUCUUCUUUCUGCAGGAUAUGCCCCCUACCACAGGCUUAGCUCACCUACAACUUUUCCUACUUCAAGGCUCAGAAUGAGUUCCAGCCCUCCGUAGCACCACUGACUCCUUGCGGUUCUAGCAUCUAGCGCCCUAUUGGGCCUCAGCCCCUGGGGGGCAGAGCAGGA